rnacentral:rRNA from 1 species
CCAUUCCUACGGGGGGCAGCAGUGGGGAAUUUUGGACAAUGGGCGCAAGCCUGAUCCAGCUAUUCCGCGUGUGGGAUGAAGGCCCUCGGGUUGUAAACCACUUUUGUAGAGAACGAAAAGACACCUUUUAAUAAAGGGUGUUGCUGACGGUACUCUAAGAAUAAGCACCGGCUAACUACGUGCCAGCAGCCGCGGUAAUACGGAGGAUGCGAGCGUUAUCCGGAUUUAUUGGGUUUAAAGGGUGCGCAGGCGGAUUUUUAAGUCAGCGGUCAACUCGUGGGGCUCAACCCCAUCCAGCCGUUGAA